UGAACACUAUAUGUUUUGAAA
rnacentral:piRNA from 1 species